rnacentral:rRNA from 1 species
GACAGAGGAUGCAAGCGUUAUCCGGAAUGACUGGGCGUAAAGCGUCUGUAGGUGGCUUUUCAAGUCCGCCGUCAAAUCCCAGGGCUCAACCCUGGACAGGCGGUGGAAACUACCAAGCUGGAGUACGGUAGGGGGAGAGGGAAUUUCCGGUGGAGCGGUGAAAUGCAUUGAGAUCGGAAAGAGCACCAACGGCGAAAGCACUCUGCUGGGCCGACACUGACACUGAGAGACGAAAGCUAGGGGAGCAAAUGGG